AAAUAAUCAAUAGAACGUCUUAACUCAAUCGAUAAUAUAUCAAUUGAUUUAUCUAGGAGUGUCAAAAUUGAUCAAAAUUCAUGGGUCAACUCAACCCAUGAACCCUAAUGAGUUAAAAUUUUUGACUCAAAUGAGUUGAUGGGUCAAAUGAGUUAUUGGAUCAAUUGGUUUGAUGAGUAAAAUGAGUUGAGUUGUAAUGGUUAAUGGUUUCAAUGGUUUACCCAAUUAACCCAUCAAGUUUUGUAAAAUUGAAUUAAACCAACUAAAAUCUUUAAACCAAUACCAAUUUAAGUUUAACCAACACAUCUAAACCAAUUUAAUAAAAUUAAUAUUUUUCCAAAUUUCUUAAAUAUACAGAGAUAAAAUUGAGAAGACGUAAACUCGUAAUUUUUCCACCAAAAAACAUAAACCCGUGAUUUUCCCGCCAAAAACGUAAACCCGUGAUUUUCCCGCCAAAAACGUAAACCCGUGAUUUUCCUGCCAAAAACGUAAACCCGUGAUUUUCCAGCCAAAAACGUAAACCCGUUAUUUUUUCGCCAAAAACGUAAACCCGUGAUUUUUCCGCCAAAAACGUAAACCCGUGAUUUUCCAGCCAAAAACGUAAACCCGUAAUUUUCCCGCCAAAAACGUAAACCCGUGAUUUUCCAGCCAAAAACGUAAACCCGUAAUUUUCCCGCCAAAAACGUAAACCCGUGAUUUUCCCGCAAAAACGGAAAACCGUGAUUUCCCCUCAGAAACGUACACCCGUAAUUUUCCCGCCAAAAAAAUGUAAACCCGUGAUUUUCCCGCCAAAAACGUAAAUCUAUAACUUUCCGCCAAAAAUGUAAACCCAUAAAAAGUAAAAUCCGUGAAUAUCUUAAGUUUGAUGAUAAUGAAUUAAUAAUUAGUAAUAAUA
rnacentral:sRNA from 1 species